AAAGUUGGUUUCUUCGGACACUCUUCAAGGUGCUGCAUGGUUGUCGUCAGCUCGUGCCGUGAGGUGUCGGGUUAAGUCCCAUAACGAGCGCAACCCUUACUGUUAGUUGCCAGCGGGUCAAGCCGGGAACUCUAACGGGACUGCCACCGUAAGGUGAGAGGAAGGUGGGGAUGACGUCAAAUCAGCACGGCCCUUAUGUCCAGGGCUACACACGUGUUACAAUGGUCGGUACAAAGGGCAGCUACACCGCGAGGUGAUGCUAAUCUCUAAAGCCGGUCUCAGUUCGGAUCGAAGUCUGCAACCCGACUUCGUGAAGUUGGAUUCGCUAGUAAUCGCGCAUCAGCCAUGGCGCGGUGAAUACGUUCCCGGGCCUU
rnacentral:rRNA from 1 species